AUACGUAGGUGGCAAGCGUUACUCGGAAUUACUAGGCGUAAAGCGCAGGUAGGUGGUUCGAUAAGUCUGUUGUGAAAGCUCCUUGCUUAACUUGGAGAGGUCAACGGAUACUGUCGGGCUUGAGGGUAGGAGAGGAAGCUGGAAUUCCCGGUGUAGCGGUGAAAUGCGCAGAUAUCGGGAGGAACACCAAUGGCGAAAGCAGGCUUCUGGCCUAUCCCUGACACUGAGCUGCGAAAGCUAGGGGAGCAAACAGGAUUAGAAACCCCGGUAGUCC
rnacentral:rRNA from 1 species